GACAGGUGCUGCAUGGCUGUCGUCAGCUCGUGUCGUGAGAUGUUGGUUAAGUCCCGCAACGAGCGCAACCCUCGCCUUUAGUUGCCAGCAUUCAGUUGGGCACUCUAAAGGGACUGCCGGUGUCAAACCGGAGGAAGGUGGGGAUGACGUCAAGUCCUCAUGGCCUUUAUGUCUAGGGCUACACACGUACUACAAUGGCAGGUACAAAGGGCAGCGACACAGCGAUGUGAUGCGAAUCCCGAAAAGCCUGUCUCAGUCCGGAUCGGAGUCUGCAACUCGACUCCGUGAAGUUGGAAUCGCUAGUAAUCGUGGAUCAGCAUGCCACGGUGAAUACGUUCCCGGGCCUU
rnacentral:rRNA from 1 species